rnacentral:rRNA from 1 species
AGGAAGGUGAGGAUGAUGUCAAGUCAGCAUGACCUUUAUAUCCAGGGCUACACACACGCUACAAUGGUCUGUACAAUGGGUAGCCAAGCCGCGAGCGGAGCCAAUCCUGAAAGCAGGCCUCAGUUCAGAUUGCAGUCUGCAACUCGACUGCAUGAAGCCGGAGUUGCUAGUAACCGCAGGUCAGCAAUACUGCGGUGAAUACGUUCCCGGGUCUU